rnacentral:rRNA from 1 species
UCGGGAAUUUUGGGCAAUGGGCGAAAGCCUGACCCAGCAACGCCGCGUGAAGGAUGAAGUCUCUCGGGAUGUAAACUUCGUAAGAAUAGGAAGAAUAAAUGACGGUACUAUUUGUAAGGUCCGGCUAACUACGUGCCAGCAGCCGCGGUAAUACGUAGGGACCAAGCGUUGUUCGGAUUUACUGGGCGUAAAGGGCGCGUAGGCGGCGUGGUAAGUCACUUGUGAAAUCUCCGAGCUUAACUCGGAACGGUCAAGUGAUACUGCUGUGCUAGAGUACAGAAGGGGCAAUCGGAAUUCUUGGUGUAGCGGUGAAAUGCGUAGAUAUCAAGAGGAACACCUGAGGUGAAGACGGGUUGCUGGGCUGACACUGACGCUGAGGCGCGAAAGCCAGGGGAGCAAACGGGAUUAGAUACCCACGUAGUCCCUGAGCGGGCUGGCAAGGCGC